UUCGUGUUGCUUAGUCCUGACUUUUCUAUAUUGUUUCUUGUUAACUAAUAUUUGUCUGGUUUUUAAAUUAUUUUUUUUAUAGCCAUGGCGUUGUCAAUUUAUUUGCGAUAUAUGAGUUUGAAUGUCUCUGAUGUCUUUCAUCCCUCUAUUAAGGACAUCAGAGAGAUACUACAAUUUAUCUGUAAAUAUUGGUUCCGUGAAGGAUGUAAAAGUCAGACGAUUAGCCUGCAAAUAAGUGAAAUCGGAUUAGUUAUUUAACUAGUGGAAGUUAAGGAGAAGGAC
rnacentral:lncRNA from 1 species